GCUUAAAGAGCAUAGGAGGUGUAAGGUCUUACUGGAGCAAUUUGGCAGUAAAGGGAAUCAGUACUCAAGCAGGAUUGAGGGGUUUAUGUGGCCCCUAUUCAUUUCUCAAGGGAAAGGAGCAGACACUGCUGUAGGCUUCGAAGGUACAUGUGAAUGUACUUAAGGAGUGCACAAGUCAUUUUAGGGACUUUGCAACUCAGGCGUUAUAUGCAAAAUUUUGUGUGUGCAUGGGAAAUAGGGAGUGGGAGAAAGAGAAUUUGUAGCUUUAUUAUUUUACAAAAGGUCGCUACGGAAAAGUUAAUAACCACUACUGAAAAGGAAGAGAAUAGACUGGAUGGGGGAGGGGGAUCAGAGGUCCAGAGAAGGACUAAGCUUUAGAAAGAAAAUGGAAAACCUCUUCCCCACCUAAGGGCUACAAACAGAUGGGAAAGUUAACAGUUGCAUCAUCUCAUUAAAAUGAGUAAUAAAAACAGAAGUGAAAACGGGGAAAGCUUGUGCAAAUACGAUCCAGAGGAGAAUGAAGAUGCCGUGCUGACUGGGUGGAAACGGCGCCUGGGGUCCUCAGCGGAGGUUUCAGCUUCAGCCUCUGCACAACGUCGCGGCCCUGGAGCAGGAGCAGUCUUGAAGCCUGCAUGGAAGGCACUGUUCUACAACCGACCAGACCGGGAGCGCGCAGGAUCUUAUCACAGUGCAAUCAUCACAGGCAGGGGGCUUAUCAGUGAGGCCUCUCAGGGACAAAAUGCUGAGGCUGCAGACUACCUCAGAGCUCCCCAGCUGCCACACUUUCCCUGCCGCACUAGGGACGAUGCCUCUAGACACUUCUCCUCCUGUCCUAGUUCUGAGUCAUCCGCUACGUUACGACAUCUUCCCUCCUACCCUCUAACCUGGCGCAAAGCCCACCCUCCCCCCGCGGACCGGAGCUCUCAUUCAUUCAACCAUGCAGGGUUUACGGAGCGACUUUUCGGGUGUAAGGCCCGUGAAGGGGCUGGGGCCGAGGUCCACUGGGUCUUUCAGGGUCCGUCCAAAACUCCAGAGUCGACCGGGGUCCAGGAGGUCGCUGCGGUCAUCCCUGGCGGAGAAGCGGGAUUGGAGCCAGCCCGCGUGCCCCAGCCACUUCCUAGUCUGGCACCCGGCCGAGCAGGGAGUGCCCAGCAGGGUCAGCCCCGGCCCCGCCGCCGCCGCGAGAUCCCGCGGGAACAGUGUUCUCGCGUCCGGGCCUCGAGGCUCUGAGCGCGGGUCCUAACGGCCGCCAGUAGUUUGACCUUGAGAGCCAGCGCCGCACCUACCCACACCACCGGAGGCGCCCGCAGCCUCCCAGGCACCAGUCUGGGUCCCAAAGUUGUUAGCUAACAUUCCCCCCGGUGCUUCUUCCGUAGCCAAUAGGAGAGCGAAGUGGUGAGGGCCAAUGGCAGCGGCCAAAGUAGC
rnacentral:lncRNA from 1 species